AUGAUGAGAACUGAAGCAUGGAUCUGUACUAUGCUAUCUGGAUUUGUGAUCUUAUUCAUGGAAACAGUGAAAAUAGCGAGUACCGGUCAUUAUUUGGUCCCAGUUUUAGCCAUACACAAUCAUGCCGGUCGGACCGUUCCCUCGUCACUGCGGCAUGCCAAGAAGAGGCAACAUCUUUCAGCUAUAAGUGCUCAGAUUUUUCUGACGGGUCAUGAAACAAGAACCGAUGAGACGAUGAGUUGCAAACCUUCCUGA
rnacentral:rRNA from 1 species